ACCCGGAGAACUGAAACAUCUUAGUACCCGGAGGAAGAGAAAGAAAAUUCGAUUCCCUUAGUAGCGGCGAGCGAAACGGGAAGAGCCCAAACCAAAAAGCUUGCUUGUUGGGGUUGUAGGACACUCUAUACGGAGUUACAAAGGACGACAUUAGACGAAUCAUCUGGAAAGAUGAAUCAAAGAAGGUAAUAAUCCUGUAGUCGAAAAUGUUGUCUCUCUUGAGUGGAUCCUGAGUACGACGGAGCACGUGAAAUUCCGUCGGAAUCUGGGAGGACCAUCUCCUAAGGCUAAAUACUCUCUAGUGACCGAUAGUGAACCAGUACCGUGAGGGAAAGGUGAAAAGCACCCCGGAAGGGGAGUGAAAUAGAACCUGAAACCGUGUGCUUACAAGUAGUCAGAGCCCGUUAAUGGGUGAUGGCGUGCCUUUUGUAGAAUGAACCGGCGAGUUACGAUUUGAUGCAAGGUUAAGCAGUAAAUGUGGAGCCGUAGCGAAAGCGAGUCUGAAUAGGGCGUUUAGUAUUUGGUCGUAGACCCGAAACCAGGUGAUCUACCCUUGGUCAGGUUGAAGUUCAGGUAACACUGAAUGGAGGACCGAACCGACUUACGUUGAAAAGUGAGCGGAUGAACUGAGGGUAGCGGAGAAAUUCCAAUCGAACCUGGAGAUAGCUGGUUCUCUCCGAAAUAGCUUUAGGGCUAGCCUCAAGUGAUGAUUAUUGGAGGUAGAGCACUGUUUGGACGAGGGGCCCCUCUCGGGUUACCGAAUUCAGACAAACUCCGAAUGCCAAUUAAUUUAACUUGGGAGUCAGAACAUGGGUGAUAAGGUCCGUGUUCGAAAGGGAAACAGCCCAGACCACCAGCUAAGGUCCCAAAAUAUAUGUUAAGUGGAAAAGGAUGUGGCGUUGCCCAGACAACUAGGAUGUUGGCUUAGAAGCAGCCAUCAUUUAAAGAGUGCGUAAUAGCUCACUAGUCGAGUGACACUGCGCCGAAAAUGUACCGGGGCUAAACAUAUUACCGAAGCUGUGGAUUGUCCUUUGGACAAUGGUAGGAGAGCGUUCUAAGGGCGUUGAAGCAUGAUCGUAAGGACAUGUGGAGCGCUUAGAAGUGAGAAUGCCGGUGUGAGUAGCGAAAGACGGGUGAGAAUCCCGUCCACCGAUUGACUAAGGUUUCCAGAGGAAGGCUCGUCCGCUCUGGGUUAGUCGGGUCCUAAGCUGAGGCCGACAGGCGUAGGCGAUGGAUAACAGGUUGAUAUUCCUGUACCACCUAUAAUCGUUUUAAUCGAUGGGGGGACGCAGUAGGAUAGGCGAAGCGUGCGAUUGGAUUGCACGUCUAAGCAGUAAGGCUGAGUAUUAGGCAAAUCCGGUACUCGUUAAGGCUGAGCUGUGAUGGGGAGAAGACAUUGAGUCUUCGAGUCGUUGAUUUCACACUGCCGAGAAAAGCCUCUAGAUAGAAAAUAGGUGCCCGUACCGCAAACCGACACAGGUAGUCAAGAUGAGAAUUCUAAGGUGAGCGAGCGAACUCUCGUUAAGGAACUCGGCAAAAUGACCCCGUAACUUCGGGAGAAGGGGUGCUCUUUAGGGUUAACGCCCAGAAGAGCCGCAGUGAAUAGGCCCAAGCGACUGUUUAUCAAAAACACAGGUCUCUGCUAAACCGUAAGGUGAUGUAUAGGGGCUGACGCCUGCCCGGUGCUGGAAGGUUAAGAGGAGUGGUUAGCUUCUGCGAAGCUACGAAUCGAAGCCCCAGUAAACGGCGGCCGUAACUAUAACGGUCCUAAGGUAGCGAAAUUCCUUGUCGGGUAAGUUCCGACCCGCACGAAAGGCGUAACGAUUUGGGCACUGUCUCAACGAGAGACUCGGUGAAAUCAUAGUACCUGUGAAGAUGCAGGUUACCCGCGACAGGACGGAAAGACCCCGUGGAGCUUUACUGUAGCCUGAUAUUGAAAUUCGGCACAGCUUGUACAGGAUAGGUAGGAGCCUUUGAAACGUGAGCGCUAGCUUACGUGGAGGCGCUGGUGGGAUACUACCCUAGCUGUGUUGGCUUUCUAACCCGCACCACUUAUCGUGGUGGGAGACAGUGUCAGGCGGGCAGUUUGACUGGGGCGGUCGCCUCCUAAAAGGUAACGGAGGCGCUCAAAGGUUCCCUCAGAAUGGUUGGAAAUCAUUCAUAGAGUGUAAAGGCAUAAGGGAGCUUGACUGCGAGACCUACAAGUCGAGCAGGGUCGAAAGACGGACUUAGUGAUCCGGUGGUUCCGCAUGGAAGGGCCAUCGCUCAACGGAUAAAAGCUACCCCGGGGAUAACAGGCUUAUCUCCCCCAAGAGUUCACAUCGACGGGGAGGUUUGGCACCUCGAUGUCGGCUCAUCGCAUCCUGGGGCUGUAGUCGGUCCCAAGGGUUGGGCUGUUCGCCCAUUAAAGCGGUACGCGAGCUGGGUUCAGAACGUCGUGAGACAGUUCGGUCCCUAUCCGUCGUGGGCGUAGGAAAUUUGAGAGGAGCUGUCCUUAGUACGAGAGGACCGGGAUGGACAUACCUCUGGUGUACCAGUUGUCGUGCCAACGGCAUAGCUGGGUAGCUAUGUGUGGACGGGAUAAGUGCUGAAAGCAUCUAAGCAUGAAGCCCCCCUCAAGAUGAGAUUUCCCAACUUCGGUUAUAAGAUCCCUCAAAGAUGAUGAGGUUAAUAGGUUCGAGGUGGAAGCAUGGUGACAUGUGGAGCUGACGAAUACUAAUCGAUCGAAGACUUAAUCAA
rnacentral:rRNA from 2 species